GUGAGUGCUGAGGUAGGAGUAACACUGCUCUGUGAGCUCACCGAGGCACCUUGUACCUCCAGGCAAAACGUGAGCAAUGUCUGCUGGGCUCACAGAGAACAGCCUCUGCUGAAAACCAGGCAUUUUCAGUCUUGGGCAGAGGAACAUCCUGAAAAGAGUAUUCAUGCCAAGAAAAAGAGACUAAUUUUAUUUCACUGAAUCAUCAAAUCUCUCAGAAAAAAAUACAAGCCUCAUCCUGCAAGAAACUACAGAUGGACAGAACACAUAGGGAAUUGCUCCUACACAGGGACUUUUUCAUGCCAAUGCCUAGGUUGGUGCUGUCCCAGUGAAGCAGAGCACCCUCAGCUCCUGGGGCUCUGAGCCCCUCUUCUGUGCCUGGGCACUCCCUCACGCCGGUGCUGGGUUGUCAUCUGGAGCAAAAGCCUGUGCAUCCCAGAGCUUCUUGGGAAGUGGGAAUGUGCUUCUACAUAUACAGUCAUUGCUAAAUCUAGUGGGACAUUAACCUGCCUGUGUGCUUCUGCUGGUGACUUACUGGUAACAUUCUGUGCUAUGCCAAGCUCAAGAAUCCUCAGUAAAAGACCCUUUAGAGGGCAUCCACACCAGGAGCUGGGUAAGGACAUGUCACCUGUAAUCUCUGCACUGCCAAAACCCAUCAUUAGCUUGCUGAGAGAUCCAGUGACCAGCUCCCUUUCCACAGAAACAGCCCAGACAGAAGCAUCUCCCUAAACUGGGAACCAAGGCUCCAACUGAAAGCCUCGAUUUGUCUAGGUCCCUGUGAGUUGGAAAGAGAAGAGGUAAUUAGGCAAACCUCCUCAGCUCACCAUCACCAGCACUAGCAACAGGUUGGAUCUAAUUCUCAGGCUGAAACAGGGCAGGGCAGCAGAUACAAAUCUUGAUGUCAGCUGGAGUCAUAUCAGGAUGCUCCGGCCAUCCCUCCCACCAUCAAAGCUACAACCAACCUGAUUCCUUCCUCAUUCUAGCUAGGAAGAGGGAAGAGAGGAGCAGAGAGGAGGGGGAGAUUGUCAAGAAGAAAAGCAAGCAAGGAAUAGCAAGAAAAAUAGCAGGAGUCCUCAAAGCAGGGAGAUGAAUGUUUCAUGUUUAUACAUUACCUAAAAUGCGCCAGCCUGGAUUAAAGACUGUAUUGCAAACACUGUAUCAUUGCAUCACUAUAUUUGCAAACACAAAUUGCCCUUGGUAGCAUAAUUCAGGGGUAGAAGGAGGUGCAUGGGGUCAAAGGGAGAGCACAGCCACCAACUUCUGCAUACUCCUGGCUGGCCAAGGAAAGCCUAUGGAAAAUAACAUGUGGUGGGGCUUCACAUAGGAAUUUUCAUCCACAACCUUCUUGCUGCUCUGAACUGGGCUGUGACUGAGCAGGACUGGUGGCAAUGAUCCCCCAUCUCCCUGAUGUCUGGGAAAGCUUCCCACUAUCAUGUGAUUUCCUUCUGCCAGGACCAUUACUGUCUUCUCUUUUUUAGUGCCACUUCUUUUGGGAGACUUUUUUUGGGCAAUUCUGCUUUCCAAGCCAUCAAGGCCUACGUUUCACAAUCUAAAUAAUUUAUGUGCACAUAACUAAAAGCACAAUAUGCCGUUAAUCUCCUAACAGGUGUUUCUGCUUCACAUCUCUUUAUUAACAGGAGAAUUUAGGACAUGAGACUUUAACCCCAAAAUUGAUAACCAGCACGUAUUAGUUGCAACUAGCAAGCAGCAGGCUUCUUCCUGAUGUUCAAAAGCUCAUUUUGGGCCAUUCACACGGACAUAAAUACACAUAAUUUUCUUCUGUCUGUUAGCAUUCACAGUUUAAGAUGUUAUUCAUCUACAACAUCCACAGUUCAUUGUUAUCCACUGAGGGAUUAUCUGUCCAGGAAUAAAGCCUGAGCUGUGAAGAUUUGCACUUUGUUGGAGCAUGUGUGACACUUCCUCUCCCAGCAGACUCACUGGAUUUCUGCUCAGGCUGCUCUUCCCAACCCUCUGUACUCUACAGUGACUAAAGGAAAUACGUAGGAACUAAGCAUCCCUAACACAACUACUAGUGAAAUUGGGAUGAACUUGGCCAACUUGGGCUCUCAUGGGCUGCUCUUCACCUAGAACACAAGAAAACAGGCAGCCAGAGGGAGGGUGAGUGGGAUUUUCUGAAAUUAAUGAAAGAGAUGAAAUUUCCUUUUUGGUUUUUUUGGGGUUUUUUUUUAAGCCAAAGGAAUAGGCUCUGACCUGGUGGAAAUUCUGUGACUCAGGAAAAAUUGGCAAAACCCUGACAUGCUUCACAUUUCUGACCCAUUUGAGCAUUCCCAUCAGUGUCAUCAUCACAGAGACAGUCAUCCAACUAGAGAAGAAAACCAUACCAUGUGGCUUACAGUUAGCAACAUUUUUCAAACAACUUCAAGAGAAAUAGUAAUGUGCUUGGAGAGUUUUCAGGGUGAAAUAUAUCAACAAAAUUAUUCAGUAAGAAUUAUUUUUGCAGUACUAUUUACUGUCACACAUUAGUAUCAGGAAGUAGAAAAGAACAUGUGGG